GACGAACGCUGGCGGCGUGCUUAACACAUGCAAGUCGAACGAAGGGGCGGACGGGAGUGUAAGACGUGGGUAACCUGCCCUCCUUUUUGGGAUAAGCCUUGGAAACGGGGUCUAAUACCUAAUAAAGGGGGAUGGGCGCGUGGCCUAUCAGCUUGUUGGUGGGGUGAUGGCCUACCGAGGCGGUGACGGGUAGCCGGCCUGGGAGGGCGACAGGCCACAUGGGGACUGGGACACGGCCCAGAGUGCUACGGGAGGGGGCAGUGGUGGAUAUUGCACAAUGGGCGAAAGCCUGAUGCAGCGACGCCGGGUGGGGGAUUAAGGCUUGCGGGUUGUAAACCGCUGUCGCUAUGGAACGGGUAGGUGGAGAAGAAGCGCCGGCUAACUACGUGCCAGCAGGCGCGGUAAUUC
rnacentral:rRNA from 1 species